UACAUAAACGAUGGAGGAUGACGAAGGAAUAGGAAGAAGGAGCGGUCGAUUAAAGGCGAAAUUGAUGUUUAAGUUUUCAAAUAAAGAAAGCCAAGCCAUUKACCUAGAAACCGAUGUUGAAGACCAUGUUGAUGUUAUAGCAAUCRAAGAAACAGGUUGGACGGGGAACAUGUGGUGUUUGGAAAAGUGAUCCAAGGCAUGGAUACGGUGUAUGCAAUYGAAGGGGGAGCCGGUACUUACAGCGGAAAACCCAGAAAAAAGGUGKUGAUUGCUGAUUCGGGUGAAAUUCCUAAGGCGGAAUGGGAUGUGGAAUUACAAACCAUAUUGGCAGCUGCUGAAUCAUGAGGAUGAAAAUAGCUAUAGAUUUUACAAAGAUUAUUACAAAUUUGUUCUUGAGGUUUAUAUACAUUCAUCURUAUUCUUGAUGCGUCAUAUGGAGUGUUACAUGAGGGAGCUGCCUUACCGCUAGAAAUCAGGACUAGAUGCGGAUAUUUCGAAUGAUAUGUUAAGCUGGGUUUUUGUAUUUAAGACAUAAAYGUCUGGUAUUUAGCUUAUAUG